rnacentral:tRNA from 42 species
GAGUGGUAGUUCAGUUGGUUAGAAUACCGGCCUGUCACGCCGGGGGUCGCGGGUUCGAGUCCCGUCCACUCC